rnacentral:tRNA from 1 species
GCACCCAUAGCUCAACUGGAUAGAGCGCCAGACUACGGAUCUGGAGGUUAGGGGUUCGACUCCCUUUGGGUGCACCA